GUGAACGCUGGCGGUAGGCCUAACACAUGCAAGUCGAACGGCAGCACAGUAAGAGCUUGCUCUUACGGGUGGCGAGUGGCGGACGGGUGAGGAAUACAUCGGAAUCUACUUUUUCGUGGGGGAUAACGUAGGGAAACUUACGCUAAUACCGCAUACGACCUAUGGGUGAAAGCAGGGGAUCUUCGGACCUUGCGCGAUUGAAUGAGCCGAUGUCGGAUUAGCUAGUUGGCGGGGUAAAGGCCCACCAAGGCGACGAUCCGUGGCUGGUCUGAGAGGAUGAUCAGCCACACUGGAACUGAGACACGGUCCAGACUCCUACGGGAGGCAGCAGUGGGGAAUAUUGGACAAUGGGCGCAAGCCUGAUCCAGCCAUACCGCGUGGGUGAAGAAGGCCUUCGGGUUGUAAAGCCCUUUUGUUGGGAAAGAAAAGCAGCAGGUUAAUACCCCGCUGUUCUGACGGUACCCAAAGAAUAAGCACCGGCUAACUUCGU
rnacentral:rRNA from 1 species